rnacentral:rRNA from 1 species
GACGAACGCUGGCGGCGUGCUUAACACAUGCAAGUGGAGCGACGAACCGGGGCUUGCCCCGGGGCGGAGCCGCGAACGGGUGAGUAACACGUGGGUAACCCAUCCCGAUGACCGGGACAACCCGAGGAAACUCGGGCUAAUACCGGAUGUGCCGGCUUAUCACCAGAUAAGUCAGUAAAGAUAGCUUCGGCCUUCGCAUCGGGACGGGCCCGCGGCCCAUUAGCUUGUUAGUGGGGUAACGGCCUACCAAGGCGACGAUGGGUAGCUGGUCUGAGAGGACGAUCAGCCACACUGGGACUGAGACACGGCCCAGACUCCUACGGGAGGCAGCAGUGGGGAAUCUUGCACAAUGCGCGAAAGCGUGAUGCAGCAACGCCGCGUGGGGGAAGACGGGCCUUCGGGUUGUAAACCCCUUUCAGUUGGGACGAAGCUUUGCUCGUUAAUAGCGGGUU